CUCACUUCCCAGGGUGGUGGAGAAUGACUGAGCUAAGAUCCUGUGACUUCCAGAAUCAAACAGACAAGAGGGUAGUGGCCAACAGCCGGACAUUGUGAUCCCUGAGCAGCAGAGGACAGCUGUUGUGAUUGAUGGACAUUCCUAAUGAUGGAAACAUCAGGGAAAUGGAACAUGAGAAACUUUAGAGAUCCCAUGGGCUCAGGGGUCACCACAGUGGAUCAUCUGCCUCCAUCUCAUCCUAUCCCCUGCUUCCUCUACUGUUACACCAACCAGAAUCUUCUCUGCGGUCUUCCUCUUCUCCUUGUGCCUGGCAGCUCCAUCUCCAACAUCCUUUGUCCAAUGUAAAGAGACAUCCCAGUUCUUUAGGGCCAUGCAAACAAGUGGGAACCAUCGCUGUUCCAUGGAGGGACGAGUAAAUAAGAAGGGUUCUUUUCUACAUAAAAGCCUCCAGAUGACCUAUGGUUCCAGCCAGUCCUUUGAAGAAACAGAGGACAAUCAAAAGGACAAAUGUGAUGGACCUCCUGUGCGAGAUACAAGAUGAAUGUGAAGCAGUGCGUCGGCUCUGUGAUGUCUUUGACCUGAUAGUUCAAAGCUGCUCUUGGACUCUGGACCCCCGUUCAGAAUGUGAGCACCUCAGACAAAGGCUUUGUUCAUAAUAAAGUAAAUCCAGCACAUUGUUCCUUUGAGCUGAACAUCACCAUUUCAGCAGGGGAGGACCCUCUUCAGACCUGAGCAGUGCAUGAAUGUGCCAACAAAUU